ACACCAUCUUGCACAACAGGGAUACGUUGACUAUAGAUGAUGUUUAUGAUGCUUUGCAUUCAAAGGAGAAGUUAAAGCAUCUGGUAGAAGCUACAUCGAGGGAUGAGGAGGCUCUUGUUUCUCAUGGUGAUCUACGGAGAGACAGGUUUAGGGAGAACAGCAAUGUGUAUUGCUUCUACUGCAGACGGAGAGGACACGUGAAGAAGGAUUAUGACAAGUUGCAAGCUAAAGGAGAUUUAGCUGCAAAUCAAAAAGGGCAAUUCUGUAAUUCAGAUGAGACUAAUGUUGCCGAGAAUUUUUCGGAUGGCGGAGAUGUGUUAAUGACUGUGGUUUCUGACGUGGAAUCUAAACCUGAUGAGGAAUGGAUUCUGGAUUCGACAUGUUCGCAUCAUAUGUGCUCCAACAGGAAUUUGUUUCAGACAUAUGAGACUAUUCAGCAAGGUAGAAUUGUGAAGGAAAACAACGAGUCUUGCCGUAUUGCUGAAAUCGGUCGAGUCAGAUUGUGGUUGUAGGAUGGGACGAUCAAAACAAUUAGCCAGGUUCGACAUGUUCCAGAUCUGAAGAUAAAUCUCAUCUAGCUGAGUACCCUGGAUGCAAAAAACUAUAAAUUCUCUGGUGGAGGUGGAGUCUUGAAAGUUCGAAAAGGUGUCCAGCUUGUACUGGAGGGACGGAA
rnacentral:lncRNA from 1 species